rnacentral:rRNA from 1 species
GGAAGGUGCAAGCGUUAAUCGGAAUUACUGGGCGUAAAGCGCGCGUAGGCGGCUAGAUAAGUCGGGUGUGAAAGCCCUGGGCUCAACCUGGGAACUGCAUUCGAUACUGUCUAGCUAGAGUGUGGUAGAGGGAGGCGGAAUUCCGCAUGUAGCGGUGAAAUGCGUAGAGAUGCGGAGGAACACCAAUGGCGAAGGCAGCCUUCUGGACCAACACUGACGCUGAGGCGCGAAAGCGUGGGGGGAGCAAACAGGAUUAGAUACCCUGGUAGUCCACGCCGUAAACGAUGUCAACUAGCCGUUGGGAGCAAUUUGGUUCUUGGUGGCGCAGCUAACGCGAUAAGUUGACCGCCUGGGGAGUACGGUCGCAAGAUUA